AACGAACGCUGGCGGCAUGCCUAACACAUGCAAGUCGAACGAGACCUUCGGGUCUAGUGGCGCACGGGUGCGUAACGCGUGGGAAUCUGCCCUUGGGUUCGGAAUAACAGUUGGAAACGACUGCUAAUACCGGAUGAUGUCUUCGGACCAAAGAUUUAUCGCCCAGGGAUGAGCCCGCGUAGGAUUAGCUUGUUGGUGAGGUAAAGGCUCACCAAGGCGACGAUCCUUAGCUGGUCUGAGAGGAUGAUCAGCCACACUGGGACUGAGACACGGCCCAGACUCCUACGGGGGGCAGCAGUGGGGAAUAUUGGACACUGGGCGAAAGCCUGAUCCAGCAAUGCCGCGUGAGUGAUGAAGGCCUUAGGGUUGUAAAGCUCUUUUACCCGGGAUGAUAAUGACAGUACCGGGAGAAUAAGCCCCGGCUAACUCCGUGCCAGCCGCCGCAGUAACAC
rnacentral:rRNA from 1 species